rnacentral:hammerhead_ribozyme from 1 species
AUCCAACUGACGAGUUCCAAAUAGGAUGAAACGUGUGUACCGGAU